rnacentral:rRNA from 1 species
CGGGUGCAGCCUGAUGCAGCCAUGCCGCGUGAGUGAUGAAGGCCUUCAGGUUGUAAAGCUCUUUUAGCAGGGACGAAGGGAAUCUGUUUGUACCUUUGUUCCUUGACGUUUCCCGUACAGGAAGCCCGGCUUAAUACAUGCCAGCAGCCGCGGUAAUAA